rnacentral:misc_RNA from 1 species
GAUGAAGAACGCAGUGAAAUGCGAUACGUAAUGUGAAUUGCAGAAUUCAGUGAAUCAUCGAGUCUUUGAACGCACAUUGCGCCCCCUGGUAUUCCGGGGGGCAUGCCUGUCCGAGCGUCAUUGCUGCCCUCAAGCACGGCUUGUGUGUUGGGCCUCCGUCCUCCUCCCGGGGGACGGGCCCGAAAGGCAGCGGCGGCACCGCGUCCGGUCCUCGAGCGUAUGGGGCUUCGUCACCCGCUCUUGUAGGCCCGGCCGGCGCUUGCCGACACAUCAAUCUUUUUUCCAGGUUGACCUCGGAUCAGGUAGGGAUACCCGCUGAACUUAAGCAUAUCAAUAAGCGGAGGA